rnacentral:rRNA from 1 species
GAGUUUGAUCAUGGCUCAGAUUGAACGCUGGCGGCAGGCCUAACACAUGCAAGUCGAGCGGAUGAAGGGAGCUUGCUCCUGGAUUCAGCGGCGGACGGGUGAGUAAUGCCUAGGAAUCUGCCUGGUAGUGGGGGAUAACGUCCGGAAACGGGCGCUAAUACCGCAUACGUCCUGAGGGAGAAAGUGGGGAUCUUCGGACCUCACGCUAUCAGAUGAGCCUAGGUCGGAUUAGCUAGUUGGUGGGUAAAGGCCUACCAAGGCGACGAUCCGUAACUGGUCUGAGAGGAUGAUCAGUCACACUGGAACUGAGACACGGUCCAGACUCCUACGGGAGGCAGCAGUGGGAAUA